GUCCUUUAGAAGAAAAAAAUUAAAGGUCUAAUCUGCCCAAUGAUAUUUGAAUGGCCGCGGUAACUUGACCGUGCAAAGGUAGCAUAAUUAUUAGUCUUUUAAUUGAAGGCUUGAAUGAAAGAUUGGAUGAAAAAUAAACUUUAUUAAUAAAGAUGAUUUAAAUUAUUUUUUAAGUAAAAAUUCUUAAAUAUAUAAGUGGGACGAGAAGACCCUAUAGAGUUUUAUAUUUAUUUUUUAUUAUGAAGUUUAAGAACUAAUAUUUUUAUAAUAUAAAUAAAUCUUUUAUUGGGGUGAUAUUAAAAAUUACCAAACUUUUAAUUAACAUUUCAUUAAUAUAUGAAUUUUUGAUCCAAAAUGAUUUUUGAUUAUAAGAUUAAAUUACCUUAGGGAUAACAGCGUUAUUAAUUUGAAGAGUUCAAAUCGAUAAAUUAGUUUGCGACCUCGAUGUUGGAUUAAGAAUAAAUUUUGAAGAAGUAUUUAAAAUUAUAGGUCUGUUCGACCUUUAAAUUCUUACGUGAUCUGAG
rnacentral:rRNA from 1 species